UGUGUUUUUCUUUUAAUUCAGGACAAUAAAGUACAAGAGAUUUUACACUUUGAGUUUCGGCAGUGGUGUAACGCAGAACGUGUUCCGAAGGUCGAUUCGUUUGUCAGGUUUAUUGCAGCCGUUCAACGCGCUCACAUUCUUCAACAUAAUCGGCCAAUCAUCAUUCACUGCCUGAAUGGUGCGGUUCGAUCAGGAUUGUUCUGCUCGGUAUAUUCAAUAAUAGAUAAAAUUAAAGAAGAGAAAAUUGUAGAUGUAUUCCAAACACUCAAAACCCUACGAUCAGUUUGUCCUACAAUGGUAAACUCCAAGGUAGGCUGUAUUGCGAAUCAAUAUUAAUUAAAUAGGUCUAGUUUUAUCUUAAGAGUCAAUAAAUUAUAUCAAGAACAAGAAGUA